GGCGUUCAUCUUCGUGAAGGAUAGGUGCACUUUCCUCUUGAUCGGACCACGACCAGCGACUUGUCUUGUCUGACGUAGGUCGGAAGGUAGCGUUGGCCUCGGCGAACGUGUUAUAGCCGCCUAUUCGGAGUGAGCAAGGCGUUGGAUGCAAUGCUAGGCGCUUGCCCUUCGGGCUCGUACGUUGUCACUUUCAGGCGUGUCGCCGGCUUCACUGCCUUUGGCAGGGGUGUUGGAGACGUGUCGGUUAGGGGCGGCCUCUGCGAUUGGCGUCGAAAGUCUGUGGUUGUGAAGUAGGCAGUCCACCUGACCCGUCUUGAAACACGGACCAAGGAGUCUAACAUGUGCGCGAGUCAUUGGGCUCUACGAAACCUAAAGGCGCAGUGAAAGUAAAGAUCCAUUUUGAUGGAUUGAGGUGGGAUCCUGAGUCACGUGCUCGGGCGCACUACCGGCCCGUUCGACAUGUAUUCAUGCGGGCGGAGCAAGAGCGUACACGUUGGGACCCGAAAGAUGGUGAACUAUGCUUGCGCAGGUCGAAGCCAGAGGAAACUCUGGUGGAGGACCGUAGCGAUUCUGACGUGCAAAUCGAUCGUCAAACGUGAGUAUAGGGGCGAAAGACUAAUCGAACCAUCUAGUAGCUGGUUCCCUCCGAAGUUUCCCUCAGGAUAGCUGGCACUCGGGAAACGAAACAGUUUUAUCCGGUAAAGCGAAUGAUUAGAGGUAUUGGGACGAAACUGCUCUCAACCUAUUCUCAAACUUUAAAUGGGUAAGAUGCCCGACUCGCUCAAUUGGAGCCGG
rnacentral:rRNA from 1 species